rnacentral:rRNA from 1 species
CACGUAGGGGGCGAGCGUUGUCCGGAUUUAUUGGGCGUAAAGGGCUCGUAGGCGGCUCAGUAAGUCGGGUGUGAAACCUCCAGGCUCAACCUGGAGACGCCACUCGAUACUGCUGUGGCUAGAGUCCGGUAGGGGAGCAUGGAAUUCCUGGUGUAGCGGUGAAAUGCGCAGAUAUCAGGAGGAACACCAGUGGCGAAGGCGGUGCUCUGGGCAGUAACUGACGCUGAGGAGCGAAAGCGUGGGGAGCGAACAGG